GAUGAACGCUGGCGGCGUGCCUAAUACAUGCAAGUCGAGCGAACAGACGAGGAGCUUGCUCCUCUGAUGUUAGCGGCGGACGGGUGAGUAACACGUGGAUAACCUACCUAUAAGACUGGGAUAACUUCGGGAAACCGGAGCUAAUACCGGAUAACAUGUUGAACCGCAUGGUUCAACAGUGAAAGACGGUCUUGCUGUCACUUAUAGAUGGAUCCGCGCCGCAUUAGCUAGUUGGUAAGGUAACGGCUUACCAAGGCAACGAUGCGUAGCCGACCUGAGAGGGUGAUCGGCCACACUGGAACUGAGACACGGUCCAGACUCCUACGGGAGGCAGCAGUAGGGAAUCUUCCGCAAUGGGCGAAAGCCUGACGGAGCAACGCCGCGUGAGUGAAGAAGGUAUUCGGAUCGUAAAACUCUGUUAUUAGGGAAGAACAAAUGUGUAAGUAACUAUGCACGUCUUGACGGUACCUAAUCAGAAAGCCACGGCUAACUACGUG
rnacentral:rRNA from 1 species